rnacentral:rRNA from 1 species
UACGUAGGGGGCAAACGUUGUCCGGAUUUAUUGGGCGUAAAGAGCGUGUAGGCGGCCAUGUAGGUCCGUUGUGAAAACUCGAGGCUCAACCUCGAGACGCCGGUGGAAACUGCAAAGCUAGAGUCCGGAAGAGGAGAGUGGAAUUCCUGGUGUAGCGGUGAAAUGCGCAGAUAUCAGGAAGAACACCCGUGGCGAAGGCGGCUCUCUGGGACGGUACUGACGCUGAGACGCGAAAGCGUGGGGAGCGAACAGG